AACGAACGCUGGCGGCAUGCCUAACACAUGCAAGUCGAGCGAGAAAGUCCCCUUCGGGGGGCGAGUAAAGCGGCGCACGGGUGAGUAACGCGUGGGUAACCUGCCCUUGAGUGGGGGAUAACCAGCCGAAAGGCUGACUAAUCCCGCAUACGACCGGCAGACACAAGUCUGUCGGGGAAAGAUGGCCUCUGCUUGCAAGCUAUCGCUCUUGGAUGGGCCCGCGUUGGAUUAGCUAGUUGGUGGGGUAACGGCCUACCAAGGCUGCGAUCCAUAGCUGGUUUGAGAGGACGACCAGCCACACUGGAACUGAGAUACGGCCCAGACUCCUACGGGAGGCAGCAGUCGGGAAUAUUGGGCAAUGGAGGAAACUCUUACCCAGCAAUGCCGCGUGAGUGAUGAAGGUCUUAUGGAUUGUAAAGCUCUUUGAUUGGGGACGAAGAAAGUGACGGUACCAAGGAACAAGCCCCGGCUAACUAUGUGCCAGCAGCCGCGGUAAACAUUACC
rnacentral:rRNA from 1 species